rnacentral:rRNA from 1 species
GAUGAACGCUGGCGGCGCGCCUAAUACAUGCAAGUCGAGCGAACAGACGAGGAGCUUGCUCCUCUGACGUUAGCGGCGGACGGGUGAGUAACACGUGGAUAACCUACCUAUAAGACUGGGAUAACUUCGGGAAACCGGAGCUAAUACCGGAUAAUAUAUUGAACCGCAUGGUUCAAUAGUGAAAGACGGUUUUGCUGUCACUUAUAGAUGGAUCCGCGCCGCAUUAGCUAGUUGGUAAGGUAACGGCUUACCAAGGCGACGAUGCGUAGCCGACCUGAGAGGGUGAUCAGCCACACUGGAACUGAGACACGGUCCAGACUCCUACGGGAGGCAGCAGUAGGGAAUCUUCCGCAAUGGGCGAAAGCCUGACGGAGCAACGCCGCGUGAGUGAUGAAGGUCUUCGGAUCGUAAAACUCUGUUAUUAGGGAAGAACAAAUGUGUAAGUAACUAUGCACGUCUUGACGGUACCUAAUCAGAAAGCCACGGCUAACUACGUG